AUUGAACGCUGGCGGCAUGCCUUACACAUGCAAGUCGAACGGUAACAGGUCUUCGGAUGCUGACGAGUGGCGAACGGGUGAGUAAUACAUCGGAACGUGCCCGAUCGUGGGGGAUAACGAAGCGAAAGCUUUGCUAAUACCGCAUAAGAUCUAAGGAUGAAAGCAGGGGACCGCAAGGCCUUGCGCGAACGGAGCGGCCGAUGGCAGAUUAGGUAGUUGGUGGGAUAAAAGCUUACCAAGCCGACGAUCUGUAGCUGGUCUGAGAGGACGACCAGCCACACUGGGACUGAGACACGGCCCAGACUCCUACGGGAGGCAGCAGUGGGGAAUUUUGGACAAUGGGCGGAAGCCUGAUCCAGCCAUGCCGCGUGCAGGAUGAAGGCCUUCGGGUUGUAAACUGCUUUUGUACGGAACGAAAAGACUCUUUCUAAUAAAGGGGGUCCAUGACGGUACCGUAAGAAUAAGCACCGGCUAACUACGUGCCAGCCGCCGCCGUAA
rnacentral:rRNA from 1 species